GACGAACGCUGGCGGCGUGCUUAACACAUGCAAGUCGAACGGAAAGGCCCUGCUUUUGUGGGGUGCUCGAGUGGCGAACGGGUGAGUAACACGUGAGUAACCUGCCCUUGACUUUGGGAUAACCUCAGGAAACUGGGGCUAAUACCGGAUAGGAGAUGCCGCUGCAUGGUGGGGGGUGGAAAGUUUCGGCGGUUGGGGAUGGACUCGAGGCUAUUCCGCUUGUUGGUGGGGUAGUGGCCUACCCAGGGAGUGACGGGUAACCGGCCUGGGGGGGGGACCGGCACACUGGGGCCUAGGAUAGGGCCCAGAUCCCAACGGGGGGCAGCGGGGGGAAUUAUGGAACAAUGGGGGGAAGCCGGUGGCGGGAACGCCGGGGGCGGAAGGACGGCUUGGGGGUGGAAAACUGCUUUCGCCGGGGACGAGGCGGGAGUGACGGUACCGGGAGAAGAAGCACCGGCUAACUACGUG
rnacentral:rRNA from 1 species